rnacentral:rRNA from 1 species
GAUGAACGCUGGCGGCGUGCCUAAUACAUGCAAGUCGAACGAAACUUCUUUAUCACCGAGUGCUUGCACUCACCGAUAAAGAGUUGAGUGGCGAACGGGUGAGUAACACGUGGGCAACCUGCCCAAAAGAGGGGGAUAACACUUGGAAACAGGUGCUAAUACCGCAUAACCAUAGUUACCGCAUGGUAACUAUGUAAAAGGUGGCUAUACUACCGCUUUUGGAUGGGCCCGCGGCGCAUUAGCUAGUUGGUAGGGUAAAGGCUUACCAAGGCAAUGAUGCGUAGCCGAAUUGAGAGGUUGAUCGGCCACAUUGGGACUGAGACACGGCCCAAACUCCUACGGGAGGCAGCAGUAGGGAAUCUUCCACAAUGGGCGAAAGCCUGAUGGAGCAACGCCGCAUGGGUGAAGAAGGUCUUCGGAUCGUAAAACCCUGUUGUUAGAGAAGAAAGUGCGUGAGAGUAACUGUUCACGUUUCGACGGUAUCUAACCAGAAAGCCACGGCUAACUACGUG